GGAGUGGACCCUCAGGACAGGGGCCUUCAACGAAGGUGAAGGUGCUGGAGCCACAGCUGGAGGAGCUUGGGACCAGGGACAGUGUGGGAGGAGAGGAGUUGGCCAGGAGCACCGAGGCUGGGCUCUUGGGGGAGCGAGAGGUGACGUGUGUGUGUGUGUGUGUGUGUGUGUGUGUGUGUGUGUGUGUGUGUGUGUGUGAGAUUGUUCCUAUGCUCUGCUUAGGUCCCCUCAUUGCUUGCUUUGUUUCUCAAGUUACAUGACAGGAGGGACAGGGUGUUCUAGGUGUGUGUGUGUGUCCUGGCCUGCUUUUUCUACCUCAACAGGACAGGUUCUGGGAGCACAUGGACCUGCCUGCCUGUUCCCACCACCCCUCAGGGAGUGGAGCAGCUGGUGGUGGGUGCUGAGGGAACAUGAGCACGUCUCUCUCUCCCCCUCGGAGGUUGCACCCUGUGUGCUGGCCAGUGGGUGCAGAGAGGGGCCCAGAGCCCACUCCAGACUCUGGAGCAGGCCCAGGUGCAGGGCUGCCAAUCACCACGCUGCAGAUUCUGGCCCAGGUCCCUGAAUUUGACCUUUGGUUUUCUCUGCAAAUGACUUCAGCUCCUGCCGGGAACUCCCAGGGAGCGGGGACAUCUGGGUGGAGCGGGAGCCAUGCAGACAGGGCUGAGCAGUGGGAUUACCAGAGCCGGCCUCCGGGCUGCUGCCUAGUGGGGCACUGCAGAGGGCAGGGAGGCCAGGGGCCACUACGUUGCAUGGCCCUGAGGCAGCUCCUCUCCACCUGGGCCUCCGGUUCCCCAUCCAGAGUGAGGGAUGCCCCUUGAAGGGCCCACAGAGGCCUGGGCUCGGUCCUGGUCCUGGUGAUGAGGGUUUCUCCCCUGUGGCUCUUCAUUGCUGAGUUUGGUGUUAUUUCUUACAUACUGGCUUACCUUAUUAUUUUUUUUAAAAAAAGAUCAAUUCAAGUAUAAUUUGUUCAGU
rnacentral:lncRNA from 1 species